rnacentral:lncRNA from 1 species
UACUGGUCAAGGUUUUGCUAAAUUGAAACACAUUGAGGCAUACUCUUCAAUGACUUAGAGUAGUCAAUCCCAUCUCGACUCACACACCGACUCAUAAGUACUUGACUGUGCCCAAAAAUCUUUCGAUCCUAAAUUAAAAAUUUAGGUAGUCUGACACCAAAGCAUAGUGAGUUGUUUGCAAAUCACCGUAGUGAUCUCAGGUCAGAGGAACACUUAUAUCCAUAUUUUUUUGGAGUAACUCUUG